rnacentral:rRNA from 1 species
UAGCGGGCACUGGCCGGAAGGAACAUUAAGAAUGAAAAGUGCUUAACUGCAUUUUUUCUUACACAUGUGUUUUUCUUUUUAAGAAAAGUUUGCUUUGGUAGGCCUUCUAUAUGGGGCCUGCCUGAGAUUAAACUCAACCAAAUUUUAUUUAAUGUCAACCGAUUAUUUAAUAGUCAAAACUUUCAACAACGGAUCUCUUGGUUCUCGCAUCGAUGAAGAACGCAGCGAAAUGCGAUAAGUAAUAUGAAUUGCAGAUAUUCGUGAAUCAUCGAAUCUUUGAACGCACAUUGCGCCCUUUGGUAUUCCAAAGGGCAUGCCUGUUUGAGCGUCAUUUCUCCCUCAAACCCUCGGGUUUGGUGUUGAGCGAUACGCUGGGUUUGCUUGAAAGAAAGGCGGAGUAUAAACUAAUGGAUAGGUUUUUUCCACUCAUUGGUACAAACUCCAAAACUUCUUCCAAAUUCGACCUCAAAUCAGGUAGGACUACCCGCUGAACUUAAGCAUAUCAAUAAGCGGAGGAAACU